UUAACUAACCCCGCACACUCUCCUGUUGAUCAUGAAGCUCCCCUACACACCCUCUUCCUUCCAUCUCCGGCGACCCAUCUCCUCAUUUUUUACUCCGGCCACCACCCCUCCACCUUAUCCACCACCAUCUCCACCUCACCAUUUCACCUACUUUCAAUCCAUACUCGACCAAAUCAAGCUUCUCUCCAAAACCCCCCCAAAAAAUCCAUCUUUAACCACUCUGGUUUCAUUAAUAAACAAACCCCAUCUGUUAAAUUCUGCUACAUCUCUCAUAUUAAUUGAUUAUCUCUCUCAAAUCAACAAAAUUGGCAGGGCCAAAUUAGUACUUUCACAUUUGAAGAAAUCAAGAAACAAUAUAAGUGACCAUUUUUUGUAUAGUUUAGUCUUUGAUUUCAUAAUUAAGGAUGGUACUAUUAAUGAUGUUGAAAAUGUUUGGUCAGAAAUUUGUGGGUCAUCAAAAAGUUUUGAUUUUUUUUCAGAAUAUGUGAUAUUUGUGUGUAAAUUUGGUGGGCUUGUUGAAAUUAAGGAUGUUUAUGAGAGACUUUUAAUGUCUAAUGGUAGUGUUAUUAAGAGACAAUGUUAUGUUGCUUUGUGUGGUGCUUUGUGUAAUGUAAAUGAAGGACUUUUAGCGAAAAACGUUGUGACGAAAAUGUAUGAUAAAUGUAUGGAUGUUGAUAACUGGACAUAUUUUUCUAUGUUUAGAUGUUUUUGUCGAAAUGGGGAUAUUUUUGAAGCUGAUUUGGUGUUGAGAAAACUUGUUGAAAAUGGUUUCGUGAUUGAUAUUUGUGUUUAUGGAACUUUUCUUCAUGGUCUUUGUAAGUCGGGUAAGUAUCGUGAAGCUAAUAAGUUGUUUAAAAAGUUAUCAAAACGAGUACCUGCAGGAGGGUUUGGAGAGAAAAGAUUAAUGUUGAGGGAGGGUCGAAGAGCGAUAUUUCAGUUGAAGUGUGAAGGUGUUGUUCCGGAAAUGAUGGUAUAUGAAUCUUAUUUUCGUGCAUUGUGUAGUGUCGGGAAACUUGAUGAGGCAGAGGUGUUAUUGAAGAAGAUGAUUAGUGGUAGGACUUUGCCUGAAAUUUGUGUAUAUGGGUCGUUUAUAAAAGCACUUUUUCGGGUUGGUAGAGAUGAAGAUGCUAUGAAGUUUUUUAAGACUCAAAAGAAAAAGGGGCUGGUUCGUGUUGAUGAGAUAGGUAGUUAUGUGAUUAUGCAGUUAUGUGAAAAGGGGAAAACGGACGAUGCUCUGAAGUUGUUUGAGGAGAUUGCAAUGGUUAAAGGUUUUGUCAAUGGUUCAGACAUUUGUAAUUCGAUAUUAGAUAGUUAUUGGAAAGAAAAAUGUGUAGCCAAAGCAGAGAAUUUUUUUGAAAAAUGGCGCUCAAGUGAAGGUAACUAUGGGCGACCUAAUAUAAUGAGUUAUACAGUUAUGUUGAAUGGAUAUUGUAACCAUAAUGAUGUUGCAAAAGCACUUAUGGUGUUUAAAGAGAUCUUGAAGAGCAAAAUGGUGGUCAAUGGAGCAUUAUAUGAGAGGAUUAUAAGCGUGUUGUGUGAUUGUGGACGGGUAAGUGAAGCAUUUGAGUACUUGAAUGACAUGAUUGAAAGUGGACAUUUUGGUUUUUGCAAGAGAUGGCGAACAUUCUUCCAAUCAGUUUUGACCGCGGAUGAACAUUCUAUUUUAAUUGAAUCAUGAAGUUCGAACAUCUAAAAUUAGGUAACACAUACUCUUCUAAGUUUUUCCCGGCCAUAGUAAAGAUUAAUGCAUUACUUAUAUGUUAAAAAUCAUUAUUAUAGAUGAAGCUAUAGAGUGUUAAAUGUUAAUAAAACAGAAGUUGUUUGUCCAUUUUAGUUAUGUUAGAUGUAGAAAGAUGAGCGAGCAGGUUGGGUAACGUGUCUAAUUGGGUUCAUGCUGAUAUACAGAUCAUUGUACAUGUUGAAACUGUCCGGGUCAUGUCAGACUGAUCUGUUAACCUUUCUUAUUUUAUUUUAUUUAUCAUGGGGCAGCGAGUUAGGUGAAACAUAUACACCUUUAAACCCUUCUCUUUCUCCUCUGUAUGCUCAGAGGGGGCUGCUUGAGGAGACCCAGGCACACAGUAAUAGCUAAGCAGCCCAGGAAGAUGUCCCAAAGGGCACUCCGACUGGUCUGGGUGGAAGUUCAUCUGCAUAUUAAAAGGGUGCCUCAAUAACAGGGUAGUUUCCAAUCAAAUUCAUAUUAGGUUGAAUAUCAAACAAUUGGUGAUAUCGGUAAGUGAAAUUCCACCUUAAAAGUUUAUGUUGAAUAAAUAUAUAUCGACACAGCUAGGUGACAGCAAUGGUAAUCAGACUGGUUGGAUAGCUGACCAAAAUGAGUUCUGGUUGAAACAGGCUGGGUGAGGUUAGGCACACACACACACACACACACACUCUUCAAAGUUUAAACUUAUUCAGUUCUUCAUCAAAGAAAGAUAAAUAAUUUAUGCAAUUUUUAUUAUAGAAAACAAUAUCAUCCCAAUAAUAAUCCAAAUUUUAUGAAGAAUAGCGAUCUAGUUGGUAGCAUGUGUUAAAACUAGAGUUUUGAGCAAUUUUCAACCCAAUUAACCCACUCGGCCUAUUCAACCACUUGUCUUCUUGGCUCUACAUUUUUUAUUUUACCUAUUUGAUAAUACACAUCCCAAAUCAAUCCAUUCAUCAGCAAAAGGUCGAAAGGUUUCCAUGUCUUUUGACCUGACCGAUAUACCCCUUCGUAUUUGGACUUCUAUUAUUAUAACACCACUCAGCAUAGGUAAGGUUUGUAUGCCCUCUUAUUGUAACAAAACAUGUCAAUAUUGAUGGCCCGAGCCACAAUUCAGUCUUCACUCGGAAGAAGUCAAGUGGUUGAGUUUUAGCCCGUUCAUUUCAUGAAGUUCUUAAAGGUUGGCAUAGAAUUGAUUGAACAAGCACCCAGUAAGGGGAAAUUAGUUCUGCAAAUCAACCUAAAUUGAUAUGGAAUAGUUUGGAGCUUUCUCUUAUGUUAGAACAUGUGCCGGCUCAUGUGGCCCCAACUGAUGUCGAUCCCUGCCUCCUGAGGCUGGAGUAUGGUAGCUUAGAACGAUCAGGAAGAGUUCGCCUAAAGUUAAACGUAUCAGAAUAUUACCUGAUUAAGUUUUAAUGCCAUACGUACUUCUGCUUCACCAGGCACAAAUGGAACCCGAUAUUUGACGGUAUGCUUGGUCAUGCUAUGCAUCUGUACCAGUUGUUUGCCUUUCUUUUAGGUUAGAAUGUCUGGGCUCGCCCAUCUUUUGGACAAUAAGAAAGUCAAUCACUGACUGGACUCCAUUUCCUGACGGGUAUCUUGAAACGGUCAAAGGUCGUUGGAUUGUUUACGUUUGUCGGGUCCCACAAGUAAAGGAUACCUGGUAACUCAUCAAUAGGUGAAAUCUUGACGCACUGUGGUUGGAACUCGGCUACAGAAGAACUCACAUUUGGCUGGAAUUGAUCUUUUUUCCUGGUCAGCUAUCAAGAUUGAGUGUUAGGUUACCAAUAGAAAGAGUUUGGGAGUCGAGUUCCUAGAAACGAGAAAGACGGGUCGGUUACAAGUGACCUGGAGGCCGAGUUAAUUAAACUGCAAUGGUAAGUAAAGAAGGCUAGUCAAUAAGGACAAAUGUAGAACAAAUGAAAUGAGUGUUUGAAGAUAAGAGUAAGAAUGAUAAUUAUAUUGAUGCUUGUAUGCAAACAGCUAUCAAUGAUCACUAAUAUUAUAUGUUUGUAACUCUAUUGUUUUUCCAAAUUAAUGGUCCUAUAUUGUUCCUGCAAUA